rnacentral:miRNA from 12 species
UGGAGAAUAUGAAGACCAUUCUGGGAAGCAGUGGGGUAAGGAGCAGUGUGUGUUCUGUGGUUUUCCUCAGCCCUUGGUUCAGUGCUGCUCACGUGGCACAUUUCUCAGUUGCUGAAG